AUGGGGAAAAAGAGGAAACAUGAUCAGGGAAGGGACGACGAGUCGACCUCCUCCGAUGCCAAGCGGUAUAGGUCUUGCCACUGCCAGAACAGAAGGAUGUUAAGUGAUGGAAUGUCUCGGGAGGGGUUUUCAGAUACCUUCUGUGACGCAGUAAUCGAACUGAAAGACGCCAUACAGGUUAAACUGGCCACGGAGGAAAAGCUUGAUAGAAAAAUUAUAAGGCUUAAGCAAAAGAGGAAAAAAGAUAAGAACAAACAUAAGGAAGAUAUCAGAAUACUGAAGGAAGAUUUCACAAUACUCAAGAAAUAUUUCAGAAUACUGAAGGAAUCUCAUGAAGAGCUCAAUUCAAAAAUCCAAGAGAUGCGAAAAGAAGGGUGUGCUGAAGUAAAUCAUUACAAUAAAUCUGCAUCUCAGAGAUCGCAAGUAAGCCAAUCAACAAGGUUUCGACUAGUAAUUGAAAAUAAUGUGAGCAGAACAAUUUACAAAAAGGAAACUGUAGAGACCGAGGAUGGAGGAGGUCACAUAAAAGUUGCCAUGUAUGAUGGUGUCAAUCGAAUUGCACAUGACCACCUUCUUGCUUCAGCAAAAGUUGACCUAGUUGUCAUUGAAGGAUGUUUCAAUGAACCGAAGCGAGAUUCUUGGUCUAAAGAGGAGUUUGAGGAAAGCAUAAUAAAACCUCGAAAAGGAAUCACAAGGCUAGUGAAAAAUGGUACAUUUGAUCUGACUGAUGGGUGUUGUGAUCAUGAAGGUGCCAUUAUUAUGGAUAAUUCGCAACAAAGGGAAGUUAAGCUUGGAGUAAUGAUUGCAGUGCCUACAGGUGUAAGAGUUCUUGAAGGAGUAUCAAAUCCUUUCAAAGUGCAAGAAGGCAAGACAAAAAAGCCAGGAUCAAAUAAAAAGGGUAAAAAGCCUUCUCCAGUUCCAAUGCGAAACUUGGCACAGACAACCAGCACCCACACAACACAACAUGGCCAAAGUCCUGUUACUCCAGACGAGCAACAUAGUCAUCCACCACCUGCCAUUCAAGAUGUAUUGCAGAAAUCAGAACGUGGAAAGCAUACAGAAUUUCUGACUGAUGACACUGCAGUGGAUAAUCGAGUGAGUUAUCCACCAGCUAUUGUGCCACAGAUGGUUGAGGGAAAUGGGCAAGCCCUAAACUGCAACGGUCAACAGUUUUCUCAACAAAUCCCAGUGCAAAUCUUGUGGCAGCCAACCAAUGCACACUCAAUGCAAAAUGGUCAAGACUAUAGUCUGCCACAAACAAGCAUUCAGAAUCCAUCGCAGGCAACAGGAUAUUGUCCAGUCUAUCAACCCUUACUUGCUCGUGAACAAGAUCAGUAUACUAGUUUCUUUGAUGCAAGUUGUCAACUUGCAUUUCCCAACCUUUCAGCAUACACGACAUUGAAUGAUAUUCACCAGUGGACUUCCAUCCCUGAAGGGGAGAUAUCUGUGGGUGAUGUACAUAAUUUAAUUGUCCCGACACAAAUUCAAGAUACUUAUGGGUCAUUUAGAUGUGGUCAAGUAUUACUUCAAUGGGAUAAGCCUCAUGUGGAGCCCAAGGAACACUGGAACUUCCUUGACGAGCUCAUGCCGCUGCAUAGCACACAGUCAAGGUUUUAUGGAGAAAGUUUCCCCAGUACAAGCCUCAUGGAUAAAGUCCAUAAGUUACUUGCCAGCACUUCAUCAGGUGAUUCUGUUUUGAAGAUGAUUACCGGUGUUAUGAGUCGAGCCAUGCAGACUCCUCAGAGGAGAGGCGUUCUCAUUCGUGCAAUUGAGCCAUAUGAUUCAGAUGAUAAGCCCCCGGUUAAGAAGCAAAGGAACGCCAAAUAUCAACUGCGGUUUGUCAACAGGGUUCGCAAUGACUACUACACCCAGGAACAAAUCAAAUCAGAGGAUGGGAAUCUCUUAAAGGUAGCUUUGUAUGAUGAGAAUAAUCUGGUAGUCACAUCUGGUCCGCUGUCUUCAGCUUCUGUGGAGGUCGUAUUACUUCAUGGCGAUUUCAAUGCUGAAGGCCAAGAUUAUUGGACAUCACAGGAGUUCAGUGCCUGCCUAGUGCAUUCACAAUCUGUAGAAGAACCACCAGCCUUGGGAGGUGAUCGUGUCUUGGCACUGACUCAUGGAGAGGCAGACGUUGGUAAUGUCAGUUUCCAGAUUUCCUCCUUCCAUGCCAGAACUGGAAAGUUCAAGAUGGGUGUUGAGAUUAAAAACGUACGAGAAGAGAGUGUUCAACAAGGAAUCACUAGCCCAUUUCUUGUGAGAGUUCGCCAAGGAGAAGAAUCAAGUCACCAUCGGAUCACAUCUCCCGAAGCGUUGCUCAGAGUAAGAAUGGAAUUGCCCAAACAAGUCUGCGGGGCGCUGCAGUGCGAUGCCACGGAAAACGUCUGCGAGUCAUCGGAUCAGUCGUCGCCGGAGAGAAAUGUCUUGGUGGCGUCGAAGGUGGACGACCAUGACAGCAUAGUACAGAGCGGGAGCGGCGUGUUAUUAUUCCCAGCCCCGCCGCCGUCGCCGGAGCAGGCGCGGGUGCCGCAGCCGGAGCCGGGGCUCAACUGCCCGCGCUGCGACUCCACCAACACAGAGUUCUUCUUCUUCAACAACCACUCCGUCACACAGCCCCGCAACUUCUGCGGCGAAUGCCGCCUUGGGCUGGGCGCCGCGCUUGACAUCGCGGAUCGCGCCGCCGGGGCUCCAGCAGCGGCCGCCUACGUAGCUGCCGCGUCAGGGACGUCAACGUCGACGAAGCCCAGCACCACUGCCACCGCUUGCGCCACCUCUGCGCCAAUGUCGAUGGUGGAGCGGGCGCGGUUGGCCAAGGUGCCGCAGCCGGAGCCGGGGCUCAAGUGCCCGCGCUGCGACUCCACCAACACCAAGUUCUGCUACUUCAACAACUACUCUCUCACCCAGCCCCGUCACUUCUGCCGCGCAUGCCGCCGCUAUUGGACCCGUGGCGGCGCGGUCCGUAACGUCCCCGUGGGCGGCGGGUACAGGCGCAGCGCCAAGUCCAAGGCCUCCCGCAAUGUCCCCGUGGGCGGCGGGUACAGCUGCCACGCCAAGCGCAGCGCAAAGUCCAAAGCCUCCGACGGAGAACCUGCGGCGGCAACAGGGGCAGCAUCGUCUGCAUUGACGGCACCGAAGCCCGACACUCCUUCUUGCACCGGCACCGCACCGCCGGGUCUCCACCACUACUCCAUGUUCUGCACCAAGAGCGAGUCGCCGCACAGCAAUCGGUUUGCCGACAACUUCGACCUGGCGAGCUUCCGCCUUGGCUCCCUCUUUGCUGACGGAGGCGUGCACCACCAGCCGGUGUUGCAGGGGAUGUUCGACUUAGGGCUUCAGAGAGGCGGCGGCAAUUGCAAGGACGGAGCCAGUUCCACCACCACGUGA
rnacentral:rRNA from 1 species